rnacentral:miRNA from 7 species
CGCCGGAGGAGAGCUCGCCUUCUUCGCGCACC